rnacentral:rRNA from 1 species
UACAGAGGAGCCAAGCGUUGUCCGGAUUGACUGGGCGUAAAGCGCACGCAGGCGGCACCGCGCGUGGGGUGUGAAAUCUGGCCGCUUAACGGCCAGGCGCCAUCCCAUACGGCGGAGCUGGAGUGAUGCAGAGGUCGGUGGAAUUGCCGGUGUAGUGGUGAAAUGCGCAGAUAUCAGGAGGAACACCGGUGGCGAAGGCGGGUCUCUGGGCCGGUACUGACGCUGAGGAGCGAAAGCGUGGGGAGCGAACAGG